UUUGCUCACAGCCUUCCACCGAUUUGUGCUCAACAAAAUCAAUUUGCUACAAUACACUCGAUGAAAAUCAAUUGCUCUCCCAGUCUGCUCAAUCUCUCAAUUGCUCCUCAUCUCUCGUUUCUCUCUCAAUCAAUCUCUCGGCAGGCUUCUUAUCUUAAUCUCAAUCUCAAUCUGAAUCUCUGGGUCUGCUCAAUGUCUCUAGUGCUCUCUGUGUCUGCUUCAAAUACAUGAAUUCACUGGUUUUUUGGUCGAUUGGGACAUAUCUCAAAAAUUAUUCAGCGGUUGGAUUGUAUUUAUUUGCUGGGUUCUUUGGUCUGCUGCAAAACUAGGGUUUUCAUCAAAUUCCUGGUAUGUACUUUUGUGAUUUGUUUUGAAGAUUUGAGUUGUUAAGUAUGUUCCUGGCACGAUUUGGGUGGCUACAUUAUGUCCUGUUUUAAUUUGUUGCAAGCUAUCUUGAUCGAUUGCUUACCCUUUGUUUCUCCUAGCCUGAGCUAAGACAAAGAUACAUCACUUAAUAUAUUUCAGAAUGUUUGUCAAGAAGAGGAACUUAAUCUCUUAUUGUGUUACCAUAAUCUCCACCUCGGAAAGGUGUUGACAAAGACUGCAGACUGCAGUAAUCGAUCUUGAGUGUGUGUUCAAAUGAAUCAGUAACAUUAAGUUGAAAUAGAGGAGAUAUGAUAAAAAUGAAAAAAGGCCUGAAAUAGAGAGAAUAUUAGUAUUCACCAAUCUUUGAUUGAUAGAUAGAUCAUAGGCACUCUUCAUUCAUUAUAGAGAUAAGAAAAGGCUUCAUAUAAAGAAAGCCUUCGAGUAUGGUUUCUUUCACAAUUUUCCAACAACUUGCACCGUUACACUCUAACAGUUUUAUAAGACUCGUGAACAUGUCUCAAAGUUUCCUUAUCUUUAUUCCAUUCUGGUGUUGGCGCAUUAACGACAUGCGUCGAGCUUGUUCCUUGCACAAGUAACUGACAUUAAGCUAUGCUUAGCAAACUCGUCGAUCUCAUAUAUGUAAUAAACCUGGCCUUUAUCAUCAUUGCUGUCUUCUGAAGUAACACUGUCUGCACUAGAAAUGAGGUCUUGCAAGUCUACAUCUGAUAAUGCUUAGUUAUUGUGUAUAGCUUCUUUAGGUCGCAAUUGUUGAAUCCCUGCAAGAUAUAGCAAAUAUUCUUUCUCAGUUUUCUUUUUUGGAUUGUAGAACUCACUGUCAGUUCCAUUAGUUCCCUUCUCAACUUUAGACACUAAUCUUUCUUUCCAUCAUUAUGGCACGUCGUAAUGUACUCUGCAGAGUCUUUCUUGUUUGAGUUGCCACCGUAUCCGUCAUAAUUGGCUGCACUGGCAGUGCGAUAGUAUGUUUGGUAAGUUGAGUCUGCCAGAGAGGGAGUUGUGGAGGUCAGGACAGUGGCAUUGGAAAUAAUUUUGGAUAAAUGGAGCAGGCUGGUUUUUUUUUGUGUGUGUGUGGUCGCUGGUUAUCAUGCUACAAUAGCCAAAUAAUCCUGGCCAAUCACAUAGGAGAUUUGUGCCAAGUCAUUCAGCACAAUAUAAUCUAAUUUUAGACUUGUCACAUUAGAAUAUGUAUAGUUUGAAGGAAGUUUUAUUAGUUUUCUUAAUAAAAAAAUAAAAAUCUGAAAAAUAUGAUAUAGUGUUUCCCUUUUCUUACUCGGAAUAAGGGUGACGGUAUAAGGGGUCGUUUAUUCAAUUUGAAUAAUAUGAAUUAAGUGGUAAGAUUUUUAGAAUAUAUAGCAUUGAUAUACUUGUAAAUUAUUGUAGCUGAUAUUUGUUGAGGCCUAAAAUUUAUAUAAACAAACAAUAUGAUUCAUUAGGCAUAUGUGCAUCCUGAUUAAUUGACUCCUAAACAUAUGGUUAACUGUUGGAAAUUCUAAUAAAUAAAAAUUACUAAAUUAGGUCUUGCUAAAGACUUGUUCUAAUGCCCUUGAUCCUCUGUAGAUGUUCAAAUGCAACACCAAAUGAAUUAUCUACCACAAAAAACUUUCUAUUAAGCAAAAUUUAAAGAUAAGCGGGAAGACAAGACAUGGUUAAUUUCCGGUCCCGAAAUAGCCUAAAAGAUUUCUACAAAUUAAAUUGCCUAAUCACCAACUUAAUAUUUACCCAAGGCAGCAAACAGAGAGAACAUACAUUUGGUUAGAAUUCACAUUACUAUAUCUCUAUGGAUGGACAGUAGGCUUAUUAUUUUCUUGAGGUGAUCUUUGGUUAAUGGCUUUUUCCUUCCACGUCUCCAACAUUAUUAAGACUCUCCUGCUAGUGUUAGAUUCUCGUAUUCUGGAAAUGAAAGUGACAACAUAACUGGAGACUAAAAAACUGCUCUUGACUCUCACAAAUUACUCUUUAAGGUAUGUAGUGUCUAUAAUUAAGGUAGAAGAUGACAGAGCACAAACGUCUAUUAAUAUUAUUAAAGAAAACCAAAACGGAUAAUUAUUAGAGAAAUUUCUCUUUUUGUGCUCAUCUACUCCAGCCUUAUACUGAGAAUUUGUUGGGAAAUAAAAAACAGAUGCUAUGUUUAGUAAAAUCAACGCAAUGGGGUAGUUCUUGAUAAGCCGCCAAAGUACUAGUCAACAAGUCUAGUAUAUCCUGUUUUGUUAAUUAUAGUUGCAGAGGUAUUAUUAUCCCACAUGCGUUAUGUUAGGCUUUUCUCCUAUCUGUCUCCUUUUUUUGAAAUAAACAGGAAGAUUUGGCUGCAAGUUGGACAGGAACAGUUGUGCGUUCUCCAAGAGGGGUCAAGUCAUCCUCUGCAUUUGGUGAUCAGAAGUACAUUUGCUUCAGCAGAGUAUGCUUUCACCACUGGACAGCUCUUAUAGGAGAACUGGGAGUGCUAAUUCGAUGCCGAGAGUUUGGGGAAAAGAAGUAUAGGCUGAAAGAAAUUAUUGAUUCAAAGGUUAUUAAUUUCGUUGACCAUUGACACAUGCUUCUGCAAGUAAGUAAGUUUAAUUAUAUAUUUAUUAUUUAUCUGCAGAAUUUCUCUUCCCCGCUGAAUCAGUAUAUUUUCAUAUUUGAGCCCCGUAUUACAUUAUAAUUUAGUUGCCCUGUUUUUCUUUUUUUUUAUUUCUAGUUCGGCCGCCAGUGCAGUACUUCACUGAGAAACAAUUCUGAUGCCCUGAUCACCUUUUUAUCAUUAAUUCAGGUAAAUACUCUGGAUAGACUAACCCAUGAUCCUCACUUGCUUACAAAAUCAUAUAAUAAAUAUAUUACAAUAAACAAUAGGAAACAGAAGCUGAAUUAUUUGGCCACACAAAAACAGUCCUUCACAAAAAGAUAAAUGCAGUCUAUCUUUUUGUGGCAAUUUAAGUCUAGCACUCGCACUAACUUUAUGCAGCGUUGCCAAUAAAUCUCCACUGGAAGGGUGGACAUCUAGAGUGAAUUUUUGUGAUAAGCUUCACGUUCCAGUAUGUUCUAACGCUUGGCCUGUAUUUUGUUUUAAGUUUACUAUUUCCAAUCCCUUGCAGCUUCCCUUAAAGUGUUCUGUGAAUUAUUAACAGGUUAGAGUUGCUACAGUUGAAAAGUAGACAUGCCUUUUUGAUCCUUAUCUAUCUGUACUGAAGGUGAUAUUUAUUUUUCAGCAGUUUAACCACUUCGUUUACAGGUUUCCUUUUUAGAAAUGUUUGCUCAUUAAAAACACAUAUCUAAGUAUAUCUUUCAGUUGCGAUUUACUUUACUCAUUCUUUUUCAACAACCUUGUGAUUAUAGAAUUAUAAUAUUUGGUGGAAUGGGGAUUACAUUGUGUUGAGUGCAGGUAUCAUUUGAACAUAGGGGAAGCUAUCACUCUGCAGACAAUGUGGAGUCUGGACAAUUCAGUUUUCAGGCAGUGGCAUCGGCUUGCUUGCUUUUUUGCUGUCGAACAUAAGCCUGCUACUGCAGACUGUUUAUUUUGAACGGAAGUCUGGUAUUGAUGCUAAAGAUUAGACUAAUGUUGAGAAAAAAGGCUCAGUCAAUGUAAGCCUUUUUAUAUCUCUUUCUGACACAUCCGUGCACACACAGUUGCAUUUGAUUAUAUUCUGGCUAUUUAAAUAUACAAUGUAAGGGACGGAUAUUAUUAGUCCAAGUAAGGAGGUGUCAUAUACUAGUUUAUAUUCAUAUUCUAACUGUCGUGAAUCCCUUUUUUUUAGGAUGAAGAUGAAGCUUGAAGAAUCGAGUGUUGUUGAAGGAAAGCUUGUUAUCUUGAAUAAAUUAUUAUAAAGAUAUGUGAGGUUACUAGUUAAUAUAGUUUGUUAUAUUUCAUCCGGUCUCUACGUUUCUCAUUGUUUGUUAAUUAGGAUAUCAUAGACUUAGUAUGCACAAGACACUAAUGUAUGGAUAUAUUUCUUUUGGAUGUUGUAUAACAACUUGUACAUAAUACAAUGUAUUGAUUAAUUCCCAUUUAA
rnacentral:lncRNA from 1 species